GUUAUUAAACCUCGCUGUGUACCAUCUUACGAUGAUAAAGACAUUAAAAGGUAAAUUAUAAAAAUUAUUAAUUAAUACGGCAUAAUUACUUUCAUUCUGUAUUUCUAGGUAUUAUUUCCCGACCAACCUUAUUAUUCGAAUGGCUUGGCUCUAUCGAAUAAACAAUUCAAAAUUAUUUGAAUUAAUUAAUGAUAAGCGUCUAAGUAACUAUUGUGUUUGCGCCAAUGUGCAAAUAUGUUGAGGAGAAAUUGAAGAAGCUUCGUACAUUAUACUUACUAGAUUUGUAAGACGAAACUACAGAUAAUUGCUUUUUGUCUCCACAAGAUCAACCAACAGAAGAUACUUCAGGUAUGUUGCAUGGUAUGAAAUUAAUUAUUUAGUUGCAUAAUUCAUAAUUAUAUCUUCCUGACAAACUUCCUGGUGUAACUAGUUCAACUGUUAUGCAAGUCUAUCCUGGAUGUAGUAAACAACAAGAUUACGAAGUUGCUUCAAUCUCAUUUAGUGAGCAAAAUUCUGCCAUUUCAUUAGAAAUGAAUAGGAAACGGGUUCACCUAAGUGAUGAAAAAGAAAUAAUUGAUAAGAAACGGAGAAAAUUACCUUUUACAAAGAACUACAGCAAUUGCAACCUAACUGGAGUAAAAAAACCGUUGUGUCGCGCUAAGAAAAAUGCCAGAACAAUAAGGCAAAAGCUAAUACAACUGAGGAAAAAUCCUCAGGUAUUGGUGAACCUCAAAUAUUUGAAUAAAGAAACUAGAAAUUUCUUUAGCAGCCAGUCCCGAAAUCAGAAAAAAGAAGUGCUGGCUCUUUCCUUUUAUUAAUUUUGUGAAUAAUAAAUUAUUAUGUUGAAA